UAGCCCUGACGGAAACACAGCGGCUUCUGCCAUCGGCUCAUGCUAAAGAGGUUCCCAGAUAAACAUUCCUUCUCUAGAGAUGGAAAGGUGAUGGUGAGAGUUUCUCCAACACCCUCCAGAGAACCAAGGAAUCCUGGAUCUCAGCCGACGACGCCCGCUUCAUAACCCACUUAGAGCCUCCUUUACUCUGCUCCUCCACCACCUCCCCCCUCAACGCUAGGGCUUCAUUUUUGCGCAGCCCGGGAAUCUAUUUUCACUGUUUGUGAAACAUUAUAGGAAGCGAUGUAAUGGGAGACCCAAAACUGCAUCUGAGUCACUAUCUCCCUUUCGCCAUUGGGACAUCGCAGGGUGUAAACCAUCCGCUCUGGGAUUAAGGGGGAAGAGUGAGGUACUUUCUAUGCCAGGAAGGUGGGAUUGUGUGACACACACACACACCGCUCUCUGCCAAGCCUGAGUUACCGGGGACUCUCUCUGUAGGCUGAAAUCCUUCACAUGCUUUAUCUGGAACUAAGAGGUGCCUCCCGUCGACUUCAGUGGAACUCAGCUUCGAUGAAAAUAAACCGAAGAACAAACUGCAACAAGAAGUUAAACUCGGCCAAGAACCCAGAAACAACCUUGGAAGGGCGUUGCUUCCAGUCUUGUUAGAGCUCACCUAGGUCCAUCACAUCCAGCGUUCUUGGAAAGAACCUCAUCAACUGUAACUGGUGAGGGCUCUGAGCAGGCGUUGGAGGCCAGUACUUGUGAGGGACAAAAGAACUGCAUCAUCUGCAUAUAAUAAGGAUAGAAAGAGGCCUGUUUGGGAGCUUAAAGAAAUAGGGGUCCCUGUGAGAGAGGAGACCCUGGAGACUGGAACAAACGUGGAACAGGAAAAAGAUUUGAAGCUUAUGGAUUUUAGAAAUAAAAUCUAUUGUUUGGAAUUUAAUGUUAUCUCUGAAGAAACUAAGGAAGAUUCUAGAGAGAAAGUUAUCAAUGGCAUGGAUAAUCUUCUGGACUGGAAUGAUGUGAUGGAUGGAAUUAACUGCAGCCAUGUGACAAUGGAAAAACUUUCAAGAGAUGAGCCAGUGCAUUUUGAAAAAAAGAACAGAGAUAUGAUCUUACAGCAGUAUUUCAGCAACUUAUUCAGAAUGGUUGGCAAGAUAAUAUCUGGGAUAGAGGUAAUUCCCAUCAGACUCUUAUUGUAUGACUAUGGUUAUGACAGCAAGAUUAUUAUGGAAUACUGAUAAUGGAAGAUUGGACACUGAAAUUACUGGAUUUAACAGGACUAUCGGAAGAUUGGACACUGAAAUUACUGGAUUUAACAGGACUAUCGAAGAUGGAAGAUGGAAGAUGGAACUAAUAGGGAUAAUAGAAUAAUGGCUAUUGAAAUUAUUGAACCUAACAGAUUCUGAUGAGACGGAUUGUUUGAAAUGUUUAUUUUGACUAUGGUUAUGACAAUAAGAUUAUUAUAAUUAGUAAUGAGAUGGAUUAAUUAAUAUGCUUAUUUGGAAAAAAAUUGAUAGAUAUAUUUCUUAAAGAACUGAAACCUCUCUUUGACUUUUUGUGGAAAGAACAAAGUAAUGUUUAUGAGAUCUGAUGAUUAAGUAAGAUAACUAUUGGAGGAAAGUGAUUUUAUAAUAUGAUUUAAGAGACAGGAUUGUUAUAUAUUAUAGACUUAUAACUGAUUUGAUAUGUGACAAAUG